rnacentral:rRNA from 1 species
GACGUAGGUGGCGAACGUUAUCCGGAAUUAUUGGGCGUACAGGGUGCGUAGACGGCAUGAUAAGUUAUUGGCGGGAAAUCGAGGCUCAACCUCGAGGAAACUGAUAAUACUGUUUUGCUUGAGUACAGGAGAGGUUAACGGAACUCCAUGUGGAGCGGUAAAAUGUGUAGAUAUAUGGAAGAACAUCAAUAACGGCGAAGGCAGUUAACUAUUCUGUUACUGACGUUGAGGCACGAAAGCGUGGGGAGCAAAACGG